UUAUGUGAUGUCUCUUACAACUAUUUACUAGUCAAGUCCUUUGGGCUAUAUAUAUGUCUUACGAUCAUUAUCGCAUAUAUCAAACACACACAUAACAUAUUAAGUGAAGUGAGUCCUAUUAAGUUUACACAUUCAUCACUAAUUAAGUUAUGGAGAAGAAAUCACUAGCUGCCUUGUCCUUCCUCUUCCUUUUUCUCUUUGUUGCACAAGAAAUUGUGGUGACAGAGGCAAACACCUGUGAGCAUUUGGCAGAUACAUACAGGGGAGUAUGCUUCACGGAUGCUAGCUGUGAUGAUCACUGCAAGAACAAAGCGCACUUAAUCAGUGGCACUUGCCAUAACUUUAAAUGUUUCUGCACUCAAAACUGUUAAACUUGGAUGGAUGGAUUGAUUCUCCAACACAAAGACAAAGACGGAUAAUAUAAAUAAAUAAAUAAAAUGCAUGCUGUAGUAGCUUGCACCGCAUCUAUCUAUGUAUAUGAGUAUUGCGUCUUCUUUGAAUCA